rnacentral:rRNA from 1 species
CACGAAGUUGGAAUUGCUAGUAAUCGUGGAUCAGCAUGCCACGGUGAAUACGUUCCCGGGUCUUGUACACACCGCCCGUCACACCAUGGGAGCCGGUAAUACCCGAAGUCAGUAGUCUAACCGCAAGGAGGACGCUGCCGAAGGUAGGAUUGGCGACUGGGGUGAAGUCGUAACAAGGUACC